rnacentral:rRNA from 1 species
GACGAACGCUGGCGGCGUGCUUAACACAUGCAAGUCGAACGCGAAAGGGGGCUUGCCCCCGAGUAAAGUGGCGCACGGGUGAGUAUCACGUGGGUAACCAACCCCUAGGUGGGGGAUAACGGCCCGAAAGGGACGCUAAUCCCGCAUAAGACCACGAUAGCACAGGCUAUUGGGGCCAAAGGAGAAAUUCGCCUAGGGACGGGCCCGCGUCCCAUCAGCUAGUUGGUAGGGUAACGGCCUACCAAGGCAGUGACGGGUAGCUGGUCUGAGAGGAUGAUCAGCCACACUGGGACUGGAACACGGCCCAGACUCCUACGGGAGGCAGCAGUGAGGAAUUUUGGACAAUGGGCGAAAGCCUGAUCCAGCAACGCCGCGUGAGUGAUGAAGGCCCUCGGGUUGUAAAGCUCUUUCAGGGGGAACGAGGAAGGACGGUACCCCCACAAGAAGCACCGGCUAACUCCGUG